UAGGGAAUCUUCCGCAAUGGACGAAAGUCUGACGGAGCAACGCCGCGUGAGUGAAGAAGGAUUUCGGUUCGUAAAACUCUGUUGUUAGGGAAGAAAAAAUGUAUAGUAACUAUAUACAGAAGAGACGGUACCUAACCAGAAAGCCACGGCUAACUACGUGCCAGCAGCCGCGGUAAUACGUAGGUGGCAAGCGUUGUCCGGAAUUAUUGGGCGUAAAGCGCGCGCAGGUGGUUUAGAAAGUCUGAUGUGAAAGCCCACGGCUCAACCGUGGAGGGUCAUUGGAAACUAAUAAACUUGAGUGCAGGAGAGAAAAGUGGAAUUCCUAGUGUAGCGGUGAAAUGCGUAGAGAUUAGGAGGAACACCGGUGGCGAAAGCGGCUUUUUGGCCUGCAACUGACACUGAGGCGCGAAAGCGUGGGGAGCAAACAGG
rnacentral:rRNA from 1 species